AGUUGGUGGAGUGAUUUGUCUGGUUAAUUCCGAUAACGAACGAGACCUUAACCUGCUAACUAGUAGCAUGUGUUUCGACACAUGUCGACUUCUUAGAGGGACUGACUACGUUUAGUAGUCGGAAGUUUGAGGCAAUAACAGGU
rnacentral:rRNA from 1 species